GAUGAACGCUGGCGGCGUGCCUAAUACAUGCAAGUCGAGCGAACAGACGAGGAGCUUGCUCCUCUGACGUUAGCGGCGGACGGGUGAGUAACACGUGGAUAACCUACCUAUAAGACUGGGAUAACUUCGGGAAACCGGAGCUAAUACCGGAUAAUAUAUUGAACCGCAUGGUUCAAUAGUGAAAGACGGUUUUGCUGUCACUUAUAGAUGGAUCCGCGCCGCAUUAGCUAGUUGGUAAGGUAACGGCUUACCAAGGCAACGAUGCGUAGCCGACCUGAGAGGGUGAUCGGCCACACUGGAACUGAGCCACGGUCCAGACUCCUACGGGAGGCAGCAGUAGGGAAUCUUCCGCAAUGGGCGAAAGCCUGACGGAGCAACGCCGCGUGAGUGAUGAAGGUCUUCGGAUCGUAAAACUCUGUUAUUAGGGAAGAACAAAUGUGUAAGUAACUAUGCACGUCUUGACGGUACCUAAUCAGAAAGCCACGGCUAACCACGUG
rnacentral:rRNA from 1 species